GGAGACACAUAUGCGUCCAGCACCCGGGGCACGGCCAGCCUGUCCUCCGGAGACCGUGCUCUGAAGUGGGGGAGGGUCAGCAGCCCACAGGAGCCCCUUCCCUGCCCGGGUGUGUGCCCUACACCUCACCCAAGGGCCCUUGUGGCCCCCUGACCGACGUAGGGAUCACAGCCCCACUUGCUGUGUCUGGAGGGUGAGGCUGGGGGAGGAUGACUAAGUGUCCAGGUGGCAGAGCCUGACCCCUUCCUGGCCCAACACCCACCCUGACCCGCGGGCCACACCGCUGUGCUGGCCCCUCCCCAUUCUCAACCGGCUGCCUCACAGGGAACUGCAAGGUGGUGGCCAGCGCUUUGGGGCAUUUCCAGGACGUGGUCCACUGGGCCCCCAGGGCUGCUGACACUUCCAAACUCAAGUGUGAGAAAAGUGCUGAGGAGUCUGCAGGCGGGCCCUGGAGACAGAACUCCAGCUGAAAGCCCCCCCCCCCCGAGGGGCUAGGAAGUACUGACGCCAGCCCUCAUGUGGCACAGAAGGCGGCCACAGGCCCACCGUGCUGUGUGGCCACGGGCAUCGGGACUGCAGCGCAGGGUGUGUGAGGCUGGCCACAGGCUUGUCCCCUGAGCCAGUGACAUCCCGAUGAAUUCCCACUCAUGAGAGCAAAGCACCCCAGGGAACCGGUGGUUAAAUAGCCCCACGGAAUCUUCUGGAACAGCAAACCCAGGAGAUGGCCUCAGUCAUCAGGCAUUCAUGUGCAGCGGUCCUCAAUGGUCUCAGGGCCAGCGAGUGCCAGAGAGAAGCACCUGCUGGGUCGCACUGCCCUCUGUCCUGACAGUGCAUGACAGCGAGCGCCCCGCCGACGCCCACGUUGGGAGGAAGUGAGGACACUGCGGCGGCGCUUGGAAGUGGCCAGGAUGCACUUCGGAGCAGCGCCGGUCAGACGGGCCAUCCCACGAGGGCGCAUCGGGCCCAAGUGCAGUGUGGGCCUCGGUGAAGGUGCACAGGGCGUGGUGGCCCUGCAGGAGGAGGGUCAGCCGUGACGUGCUCUCGAGAGAGGCCUGGGCGGAGGACAGAAACUCUGCACCCUGAGUGCAGAGGUCCCCAAACACUCAGCAUAGACUCAGGAGGUGCUCCACCUGGGGUCCUCCCCGGGUCCGUGUCCAGGGCUGCCGUGACCGAUGACCACAGACCGGGCAGUUCCAACAACAGAGAUGGAGCCCCGAAGUCAGGGUGUUGCAGGGCGCGUCUCCCUCCGAGGCCGUAGGGGAGGAUCUGUCCUUGAAUCUUCCGGCUUCCAGGGCUCCAGGCACCGCUGGCUUGUGGGGCCAUGUCUCUCCAGUCUCUUAUGUUUUCACUGGAUCCGGGACCCCACACGUGACCAGGUAACCUGUGAUGGCCGUGGAUCCUUCAUCACAUCCGGAAAGAUUCUCUCACCAAAUAAGGUCACAGCCACAGGCCCAGGGCUGAGGUGACGGACAGAACUUCGAGGCCACAGCCAGCCCCACAUCUGUCCCCAAGGCCAGGCUCCUGAAGCCACUCAGCAGAGACCUGCAGUCACACGCCACCCAGAACCUUCCCCAGGCAGCUCUGCCCUCCCACCGCACCCUGCUUUCUGCCAUGACCAAUGGCCCAGUGCCGGGCAUGCGGCCUUGAACCUGUCUUCUGGUGCCUGGGUGGGCUGCUGCCCUCCUGCCCGGCCCCCAAGCUCACCCGACGCCCCCCAGAAGGAGAGCUUUAGCCGAAGACAGCUGGAGGGAGAGCUGACACCCUGUGUGACCCGAGAGAAAGCCCCACAGAGGAGCCACCCCCUACUUGUGUACGCACUUUUGCAGAAGGGGUGCAUGCGCAGCCGUGCAGGCCUGAUGGAGAACUGGGUGGACAUGAACAGCAGGCUGGCAGAGGCAGAGACCGAGGAGCCGAAGAAACACCUGUGGGAGAGGCCGGGCCAGGCCCUGGGCAGGGGCAGGAGGGCGGUGUGCGGCCAGCUCAGGGUGUCCCUGACCCUGAGCCCGAGGCCCAGCCUCCUUCCUGUCUCCUGCCACCUCAGCCCCCCAGCGGAUGCCCUGAGGCCACCUCCAGUGUCUGUGCCUCAAGGCUUACAGACCCGCUCCCUCCUCCCUCCUCCCUCCUGUGCGGCAGUGACCAGGGGCCGGCCUGGCUCAGAGACAGGGACAGAGGCUCUGGGCCGAGCGGGUCCAGGUUUCCUGCACAUCCCCGCUGCUCACCCAGGCUCCCGCCCGGUCUGGGUCAGGACCACCCCUCCUGCCCCCCUUGGGUGCUGUUCUUCCAUCAAGAGGCACCGAAGCCCGGCCGGUCGGGGAGGCCAGGGGCGCCGGGAGAGGUGCCUGGCUGGCCAGCGGCCCCUGCACGGUCUCCACACACCUUCUCGGGGGCUGUGCAUGCUUCUGUGCACAAAUGACAUCUUGUGCCUUGGCAUUCAAACAAAAUCAUUCCUGUCCUCGACACAGUGAAUGAUUUAUCCAUCCAAAAAUUAAAUUCUGGUCUGCAGUUCUUGGAA